rnacentral:rRNA from 1 species
GAUGAACGCUGGCGGCGUGCCUAAUACAUGCAAGUCGAGCGAACAGACGAGGAGCUUGCUCCUCUGACGUUAGCGGCGGACGGGUGAGUAACACGUGGAUAACCUACCUAUAAGACUGGGAUAACUUCGGGAAACCGGAGCUAAUACCGGAUAAUAUAUUGAACCGCAUGGUUCAAGAGUGAAAGACGGUUUUGCUGUCACUUAUAGAUGGAUCCGCGCCGCAUUAGCUAGUUGGUAAGGUAACGGCUUACCAAGGCAACGAUGCGUAGCCGACCUGAGAGGGUGAUCGGCCACACUGGAACUGAGACACGGUCCAGACUCCUACGGGAGGCAGCAGUAGGGAAUCUUCCGCAAUGGGCGAAAGCUUGACGGAGCAACGCCGCGUGAGUGAUGAAGGUCUUCGGAUCGUAAAACUCUGUUAUUAGGGAAGAACAAAUGUGUAAGUAACUAUGCACGUCUUGACGGUACCUAAUGAGAAAGCAACGGCUAACUACGUG